rnacentral:rRNA from 1 species
GAAACUAACAAGGAUUCCCCUAGUAACGGCGAGCGAAGCGGGAAGAGCUCAAAUUUGAAAGCUGGCGUCUUCGGCGUCCGCGUUGUAAUCUCGAGACGUGUUUUCCGUGCGGCUCCAUGGACAAGUCCCUUGGAACAGGGCAUCGUAGAGGGUGAAAAUCCCGUACUUGCCAUGGAAGUACCGUGCUUUGUGAUACACGCUCCAAGAGUCGAGUAGUUUGGGAUUGCUGCUCAAAGUGGGUGGUAGACUCCAUCUAAAGCUAAAUAUCGGGGGGAGACCGAUAGCGAACAAGUACCGUGAGGGAAAGAUGAAAAGCACUUUGGAAAGAGAGUUAAAAGUACGUGAAAUUGUCGAAAGGGAAGCACUUGAAGUCAGCCAUGCUGCUUGAGACUCAGCCUGGCUUUUGCUUGGUGUAUUUCUCGGUGGCAAGCCAGCAUUGGUUUGUGUCGUCGGAGAAGCGCAUGGGGAAUGUGGCAUCCUCGGAUGUGUUAUAGCCCUGUGCAGGAUACGACGAUGUAGACCAAGGAACGCAGUGUGCCCUCUGGGCGGGUCUUCGGACACCUUCACACUUAGGAUGCUGACGUAAUGGCUUUAAACGAC